CCUACGGGAGGCAGCAGUGGGGAAUAUUGCACAAUGGGCGAAAGCCUGAUCCAGCAACGCCGCGUGAAGGAAGACGGGUUUCGGCUCGUUAACUUCUAUCAACAAGGACGUAAGAAAUGACGGUACCUCAAUAAUAAGCCCCGGCUAACUACGUGCCAGCAGCCGCGGUAAUCCGUAGGGGGCAAGAGUUAUUCGGAAUUACUGGGUGUAAAGGUUGAGUAGGCGGUAUGGUAAGCCAGAUGUGAAAGCCUUGGGCGUAACACGAGGAUUGCAUUUGGAACUAGCAAGCUAGAGUACAGGAGAGGAAAGCGGAAUUCCUAGUGUAGCGGUGAAAUGCGUAGAUAUUAGGAAGAACACCAGUGGCGAAGGCGGCUUUCUGGACUGAAACUGACGCUGAGGCACGAAAGCGUGGGGAGCGAACAGGAUUAGAUACCCCGGUAGUC
rnacentral:rRNA from 1 species